GUUUUACGCUGUGAUCUGAGGUGAAAAACAACAGAGAAGAUGAGGAUUAUUAUUCUGGCUGUUUUAAUUUGUGCGUGUCAGGCUGCACAGGAUCCAACAUUGUGUUCUGCCCCACAUGUGCCAAAUGGCCAACCUGAAGAACAGUUAAAAGAUCUCUAUAAUGAUGGAGAGUAUGUUACAAUUGUGUGUGACAGAGGAUAUGAGAUUGAAAAUAGAUACCGUUAUGCAAUGUGCGUUAGAGGAACUUGGAGGCUGCCAGUGUGUGAAGCUCAAGCUAGAACAUUGUGUUCUGCCCCACAAGUGCCAAACGCCCGACCUGAAGUACAGUUAAAACCACUCUAUAAAAAUGGAGAAUACAUUAGAUUUGUAUGUAACAGAGGCUAUGAGCUUGAACAUA